CCGUUAUCACACAUCCACCAGGAGGAACAUGUCAUUUUACUGGACUGACAGCGUACACUGACUAUACCUGUAAAGUCCAGCCCACCUACAACAAGAAAAACGUUGGCAAACCAGCUGAAGUGAAACAGAAAACUGCGAUUGGAAAACCAGAAGAUAUCGUUAAACUGAUGGUGACUAUUCCAGAGCAUAAUGUAAUUAGCGUCACCUGUUUUCAUUCAAAACGUUUUAAUGGACCUGAAGAGAAAUACAUUGCACGUCUUUAUUAUGGCAUUGUCGAUCUGAAGAAGACUGAAAAAAAAAAUGCGAGUUUGAAUUCAGAGAUCUUCGCUCUUCUACGACCUACAGAGUGGAGGUGACUGCUUUCAAUGGACAUUAUGAGAGCAACACCAAGAAAGAAAAAUUUGACACUCUCUAUAAUGGCAAAGCUCUCUUUGGGUUUCUGGUCGUCUUUAUCAUCAUCAACAUCACAUGUGUGGUCCUGGCUGUGGGGAUCUUCGUUCAGAAGUGCAGGAGGUACAGAGAGUAAAGAUAAUUUUACUUCUUACCACCUGCUUCAGAUUGACUGUCACAUUGUCUCGAGUUUGUUUUACAGUUGUAGUAGUGAGUUUUAAUUUACAGUACAACGGAUCCCAGUUCUUUAAAUCAGAUUAAAAAUGACAG